UACGUAGGUGGCAAGCGUUGUCCGGAUUUACUGGGCGUAAAGAGCGCGCAGGCGGUCGUGCAAGUCGCGUGUGAAAGCCCCCGGCUCAACUGGGGAGGGUCACGCGAUACUGCUCGACUCGAAGGCAGGAGAGGGAAGUGGAAUUCCCGGUGUAGUGGUGAAAUGCGUAGAUAUCGGGAGGAACACCAGUGGCGAAGGCGACUUCCUGGUCUGUUCUUGACGCUGAGGCGCGAAAGCUAGGGUAGCAAACGGG
rnacentral:rRNA from 1 species